CUUUACUGUAGCUUUGCAUUGGACUGUGAACCGAUCUGUGUAGGAUAGGUGGGAGGCUUUGAAGCCGGGACGCUAGUUCUGGUGGAGCCAACCUUGAAAUACCACCCUGGUUUGUUUGCGGUUCUAACCUUGACCCGUUAUCCGGGUUGGGGACAGUGCAUGGUAGGCAGUUUGACUGGGCGGUCUCCUCCCAAAGCGUAACGGAGGAGUUCGAAGGUACGCUUGGUACGGUCGGACAUCGUGCCUAAAGUGCAAGGGCAAAAGCGUGCUUAACUGCGAGACUGACAAGUCGAGCAGGUACGAAAGUAGGACCUAGUGAUCCGGUGGUUCUGAAUGGAAGGGCCAUCGCUCAACGGAUAAAAGGUA
rnacentral:rRNA from 1 species